AUUGAACGCUGGCGGCGUGCCUAACACAUGCAAGUCGAGCGGUAACAGGUGUAGCAAUACAUGCUGACGAGCGGCGGACGGGUGAGUAACGCUUGGGAAUCUGCCUAUUAGUGGGGGACAACCCGGGGAAACUCGGGCUAAUACCGCAUACGCUCUACGGAGGAAAGCCGGGGACCGCAAGGCCUGGCGCUAAUAGAUGAGCCCAAGUCGGAUUAGCUAGUUGGUAGGGUAAUGGCCUACCAAGGCGACGAUCCGUAACUGGUCUGAGAGGACGACCAGUCACACCGGAACUGAGACACGGUCCGGACUCCUACGGGAGGCAGCAGUGGGGAAUAUUGGACAAUGGGCGAAAGCCUGAUCCAGCGACGCCGCGUGGGUGAAGAAGGCCUGCGGGUUGUAAAGCCCUUUCAGUGGGGAAGAAAGCCUCGACCUACACGUCGGGUCUUGACGUAACCCAUAGAAGAAGCACCGGCUAACUCUGUGCCAGCCGCCG
rnacentral:rRNA from 1 species